UACGUAGGGGGCUAGCGUUGUCCGGAAUCAUUGGGCGUAAAGCGCGUGUAGGCGGUCCGGUAAGUCCGCUGUGAAAGUCGGGGGCUCAACCCUCGGAUGCCGGUGGAUACUGUCGGGCUUGAGUACGGAAGAGGCGAGUGGAAUUCCUGGUGUAGCGGUGAAAUGCGCAGAUAUCAGGAGGAACACCAAUUGCGAAGGCAGCUCGCUGGACGUUACUGACGCUGAGACGCGAAAGCGUGGGAGCAACAGG
rnacentral:rRNA from 1 species